rnacentral:lncRNA from 1 species
GGCACUUGCAACUUUAUUGCGCCAGCAAGAACAUGCAUACAGCCCAGUCUAACGUACAGGAUCAAAAAGAGACCUUAUUUCGGCUGGCAAUUACCUUACCCGCUUGUUCAUUAUCUGACUCCUGCACUCCUCCCAAGUGUUCAAUGUUAACCAGAUGGCAAAGUUAACCAGACAGAGGAAAUCCACAUAAUUACUCUAGAUGAAGCCCCCUAACUGCGGAUUAGAAGGAAAAGAGAUGAAGGGUGCUGCACUAAUAAUAACAACCAUUUUCAACCAAGGCAGGAUUCUGGGCCUAGAAUCUUCAGUGACAAAUUACCAGGAGAGGAGGAGGGAAAUGAAGAGCUGGAGGCCUAGGGAGAUGGUGUGAGGAGAGGAGACUGUGCCUUUCCACUUCUUAAUAAUUAAUGUUCUCCUGCUGCUCUGAGUCUGCAUCACCAGUGAUUCAGUUUGAGUCAGACAUCCAACAACAACUGAGCAAAAGAAUCAUCUCAGAUCCAAGCAAUGGUGACGCGCAGAUAGAAGAGACUGAGGCCAACGACCAAAGCAAAGGACAGCAGAACUGACUGACACAGCUCAGAAAAUAUCCAAAGCUCUGUAUGCUCUGGAAAGGAAGACAAGAAAUGCUAAAGACUCUGGAUAUUGCUCUGUUUCUAUAAGGUCCCACCCAUAUACCAUCUCUUCUUUUGGAUUUCCUUUGGCAGGGUUCCCUUGUAUGGAAGUUCUCAGGAGAACAACACUCUCAGAGUCCCACUGUCUCAAAGAAUUCUUAAUGGACAGCUAUACUUGGCCCCAAGGUUUCAACCUCACACUGAAGAAAGUGACAUAAGAAAACACAAGUCCCAGUGCUAUCAGGGGCUAUCUGGAAAAGCUGCUUAAACAGCAAGUGAAAGAAGGCUCUCCCCUACCCCGUUCUAGACUCACCCUGAAGUUAUUUGAAGGAUCCUUGAGACUCUUUUGGAUUGCUGCUUGGAGAACAUUCCUGUAACUUGUCCCUGCUCCUUGAACUAUAAAAGCAGAAGGGAGGUACUGAGUUAAAACUUACAAAUUAUUAUCAAAUAAAUCUUCAAUAGUG